rnacentral:rRNA from 1 species
GACGAACGCUGGCGGCGUGCCUAAUACAUGCAAGUAGAACGCACAGUUUAUACCGUAGCUUGCUACACCAUAGACUGUGAGUUGCGAACGGGUGAGUAACGCGUAGGUAACCUGCCUGGUAUCGGGGGAUAACUAUUGGAAACGAUAGCUAAUACCGCAUAAUAUUGAUUAUUGCAUGAUAAUUGAUUGAAAUAUGCUAUUGCAUCACUACCAGAUGGACCUGCGUUGUAUUAGCUAGUAGGUGAGGUAACGGCUCACCUAGGCGACGAUACAUAGCCGACCUGAGAGGGUGAUCGGCCACCCUGGGACUGAGACACGGCCCAGACUCCUACGGGAGGCAGCAGUAGGGAAUCUUCGGCCAUGGACGAAAGUCUGACCGAGCAACGCCGCGUGAGUGAAGAAGGUUUUCGGAUCGUAAAGCUCUGUUGUAAGAGAAGAACGGGUGUGAGAGUGGAAAGUUCACACUGUGACGGUAUCUUACCAGAAAGGGACGGCUAACUACGUG